GCGCCGAUUGGAGCGGCGGCGAAGGCGGCUGCCGGCCGCCUGUUCUUCCGUUCGCAUCGGAAAUCGCCGCA
rnacentral:tRNA from 1 species